rnacentral:rRNA from 1 species
AGAGAGUGCAAGCGUUAAUCGGAAUUACUGGGCGUAAAGCGCGCGUAGGUGGAUGCUUAAGUCGGAUGUGAAAGCCCUGGGCUUAACCUGGGAACUGCAUUCGAUACUGGGCGUCUAGAGUAUAGUAGAGGGAAGUGGAAUUUCAGGUGUAGCGGUGAAAUGCGUAGAUAUCUGAAGGAACAUCAGUGGCGAAAGCGGCUUCCUGGACUAAUACUGACACUGAGGUGCGAAAGCGUGGGGAGCAAACAGGAUUAGAGACCCUGGUAGUCCACGCCCGUCAACGAUGAUAACUAGAUGUUGGGGACAUUGGUCCUUAGUAUCAAAGCUAACGCGUUAAGUUAUCCCGCCUGGGAGUACGGCCGCAAGGUUA